rnacentral:tRNA from 1 species
GUAAGUAUAGUUUAAAAAAAACGCUAGAUUGUGAUUCUAGGGAUAAGGGUUAAAAUCCCCUUACUCACC